UAGAGUUUGAUCCUGGCUCAGGAUGAACGCUGGCGGCGUGCCUAAUACAUGCAAGUCGAACGCUUUGUGGUUCAACUGAUUUGAAGAGCUUGCUCAGAUAUGAAGAUGGACAUUGCAAAGAGUGGCGAACGGGUGAGUAACACGUGGGAAACCUACCUCUUAGCAGGGGAUAACAUUUGGAAACAGAUGCUAAUACCGUAUAACAAUGACAACCGCAUGGUUGUUAUUUAAAAGAUGGUUCUGCUAUCACUAAGAGAUGGUCCCGCGGUGCAUUAGCUAGUUGGUAAGGUAAUGGCUUACCAAGGCGAUGAUGCAUAGCCGAGUUAAGAGACUGAUCGGCCACAAUGGGACUGAGACACGGCCCAUACUCCUACGGGAGGCAGCAGUAGGGAAUCUUCCACAAUGGGCGAAAGCCUGAUGGAGCAACGCCGCGUGUGUGAUGAAGGGUUUCGGCUCGUAAAACACUGUUGUAAGAGAAGAAUGACAUUGAGAGUAACUGUUCAAUGUGUGACGGUAUCUUACCAGAAAGGAACGGCUAAAUACGUGCCAGCAGCCGCGGUAAUACGUAUGUUCCAAGCGUUAUCCGGAUUUAUUGGGCGUAAAGCGAGCGCAGACGGUUAUUUAAGUCUGAAGUGAAAGCCCUCAGCUCAACUGAGGAAUUGCUUUGGAAACUGGAUGACUUGAGUGCAGUAGAGGAAAGUGGAACUCCAUGUGUAGCGGUGAAAUGCGUAGAUAUAUGGAAGAACACCAGUGGCGAAGGGCGGCUUUCUGGACUGUAACUGACGUUGAGGCUCGAAAGUGUGGGUAGCAAACAGGAUUAGAUACCCUGGUAGUCCACACCGUAAACGAUGAGUGCUAGGUGUUUGAGGGUUUCCGCCCUUAAGUGCCGCAGCUAACGCAUUAAGCACUCCGCCUGGGGAGUACGACCGCAAGGUUGAAACUCAAAGGAAUUGACGGGGACCCGCACAAGCGGUGGAGCAUGUGGUUUAAUUCGAAGCAACGCGAAGAACCUUACCAGGUCUUGACAUCCCUUGACAACUCCAGAGAUGGAGCGUUCCCUUCGGGGACAAGGUGACAGGUGGUGCAUGGUUGUCGUCAGCUCGUGUCGUGAGAUGUUGGGUUAAGUCCCGCAACGAGCGCAACCCUUAUUACUAGUUGCCAGCAUUCAGUUGGGCACUCUAGUGAGACUGCCGGUGACAAACCGGAGGAAGGUGGGGAUGACGUCAAAUCAUCAUGCCCCUUAUGACCUGGGCUACACACGUGCUACAAUGGCGUAUACAACGAGUUGCCAACCCGCGAGGGUGAGCUAAUCUCUUAAAGUACGUCUCAGUUCGGAUUGUAGGCUGCAACUCGCCUACAUGAAGUCGGAAUCGCUAGUAAUCGCGGAUCAGCACGCCGCGGUGAAUACGUUCCCGGGUCUUGUACACACCGCCCGUCACACCAUGAGAGUUUGUAACACCCAAAGNCCGGUGGGGUAACCUUCGGGAGCCAGCCGUCUAAGGUGGGACAGAUGAUUAGGGUGAAGUCGUAACAAGGUA
rnacentral:rRNA from 1 species